rnacentral:tRNA from 1 species
AAGAAGGUGGCAGAUUGGUUAUGCAUCUGACUUGAAAUCAGAUUAGGGGGGUUCGAUUCCUUCCUUUCUCG